GUAAGUCGAUUGUGAAAUCCCCGGGCUCAACCUGGGAACUGCUUUCGAUACUGCGUCACUAGAGUACGGUAGAGGGUAGUGGAAUUCCCGGUGUAGCAGUGAAAUGCGUAGAUAUCGGGAGGAACAUCCGUGGCGAAGGCGACUACCUGGACCAGCACUGACACUGAGGCACGAAAGCGUGGGGAGCAAAC
rnacentral:rRNA from 1 species